rnacentral:misc_RNA from 1 species
CUUUUUUUCUCAGUUUACCAAAAGGAGAAAGAGAUUGGGUUCUUGAUUUGUUGUUCUUUCUUUAUUAUUUCUCUUUUCAAUUUAUUUAUGCUCCUCUACUAGGGUUAUAGCCACUGCGCUAGGGUAUAUGCAACUAUGGUGAGAGGAAGGACUCAGAUGAAGAGAAUAGAAAACGCAACCAGUAGGCAAGUAACCUUUUCAAAGAGAAGAAAUGGGCUCCUCAAGAAGGCCUUUGAGCUUUCAGUUCUCUGCGAUGCUGAAGUUGCACUUAUCAUUUUCUCUCCCAGGGGAAAGCUCUAUGAGUUCUCCAGCUGCAG